rnacentral:rRNA from 1 species
UACGGAGGGUGCAAGCGUUAUCCGGAUUCACUGGGUUUAAAGGGUGCGUAGGAGGGCAGGUAAGUCAGUGGUGAAAUCCUGGGGCUUAACCCCAGACUGCCGUUGAUACUAUCGGUCUUGAAUGUCGUGGAGGUGAGCGGAAUAUGUCAUGUAGCGGUGAAAUGCUUAGAUAUGACAUAGAACACCAAUUGCGAAGGCAGCUU